rnacentral:rRNA from 1 species
UCGUACGAGAGUUUUUAACUCAAGUGGCGGACGGGUGAGUAACACGUAAGAAUUUGCCUUUAGGAGGGGGACAACAACUGGAAACGGUUGCUAAUACCCCAUAUGCUUUCGAGUGAAAUGGAUUUUUCCGCCUAGAGAGAAGCUUGCGGCUGAUUAGCUUGUUGGUGAGGUAAUGGCUCACCAAGGCGACGAUCAGUAUCUGGUUUGAGAGGACGAUCAGACGCACUGGAACUGAGACACGGUCCAGACUCCCACGGGAGGCAGCAGUGGGGAAUUUUCCGCAAUGGGCGAAAGCCUGACGGAGCAAUACCGCGUGAGGGAUGACGGCCUAUGGGUUGUAAACCUCUUUUUUCAGGGAGGAAUAAAAUGACGUGUACCUGAAGAAUAAGCAUCGGCUAACUCCGUGCCAGCAGCCGCGGUAAGACGGAGGAUGCAAGUGUUAUCCGGAAUCACUGGGCGUAAAGCGUCUGUAGGUGGUCCAAUAAGUCAACUGUUAAAUCUUGAGGCUCAACCUCAAAACCGCAGUCGAAACUAUUAGACUAGAGUAUAGUAGGGGUAAAGGGAAUUUCCAGUGGAGCGGCGAAAUGCGUAGAGAUUGGAAAGAACACCGAUGGCGAAGCACUUUACUGGGCUAUUACUAACACUCAGAGACGAAAGCUAGGGUAGCAAAUGGGAUAGAUACCCCAGUAGUCCUAGCCGUAAACAAUGGAUACUAGAUGUUGA